rnacentral:rRNA from 1 species
UAAUUGAAGAGUUUGAUCAUGGCUCAGAUUGAACGCUGGCGGCAGGCCUAACACAUGCAAGUCGGGCGGUAACAGGGAGAAGCUUGCUUCUCUGCUGACGAGCGGCGGACGGGUGAGUAAUGUAUGGGGAUCUGCCUGAUGGCGGGGGAUAACUACUGGAAACGGUAGCUAAUACCGCAUAAUGUCUUCGGACCAAAGCGGGGGACCUUCGGGCCUCGCGCCAUCAGAUGAACCCAUAUGGGAUUAGCU